rnacentral:tRNA from 1 species
GCCUUCGUAGUGUAGCGGUAAGCACACUCGUCGCGUAACCGAAAAGUCCGUGGUUCGAUUCCCGGCGAGGGCA